UGGUGAGUCUCUCUCUUUUCCAUCUAUUGCCAUUAUUGAAGUUGUAUUUUCUACUUCCAAUUUUAUUGACAUGGUAUUGGAAUGAAAUCAUAUAACCCCAAUUAGUAUGAAUUAAGGGCAUAGUUGAUUGAUAUUGAUUGGAAUUAGAAUUGAAAUUUUAUUUAAAUAGAAGUGAGUUCAUAAAGCUAAUAUUUUGGAAAAAUUUGAACUUUCUUAUUCAGCAACCUUACUCCUUGAAUGAUGUUCAGUUUCCUCCACUCCUAAAGCUAAGUAAUGAGCGAGAAAAACGAAUGCUAAAAGAAACUACUUACGUAGUAAUAGUAAGUAGUAGCGAGAAAAUGAAAGGUAUAAUUGCAUCAGUCCUUCCAAUCAAGCAAGCGACCAAUCAUUGCCAUAAAAGCAAGUUGUAUAGACUGUAGACUUGCAGGAUCAGGUGAUAUAUAUAUAUAUAUAUAUAUAUAUAUAUAUAUAUGUUUGUGUGAACACAAUUUUGAUAUAACAAGGUUUGAAAAUGUUCCAGUAAUAAAAUAUGUUAUCCUGUUCAUUAGGGUUCUUCUAAAGCUUAAAUUCCAUUCAUUUCUAAUUUAUGUAUUCGACAAUUUUUGAUUUCACAUUCUUCCUGAACAACUGGGUGCCUGUGGACUUGACCUAUUUUCCUUUAGCUGAAUGUUAGACACAAUAGGGGCUUUGGUGAAAAAGUCCUUUAAACAAAUUUGAUGAGUUCUUUUUAAAACUUGUUUUUUUUUUGCUUUUUGCCUAUUGCUUCUGUUUUUCUGUUUGUACGCAUGUACAUAUUUGUUGUGGAAGCAAGUGUUUUCUUUUGUUUUCUCAUCUUGCUUCUUUGAGUAGUGCAGCAAUUCUGGGGAGAAGUUCCAGUACCGACUGAUAUUUCAUGAGUUGAUUGAACAAUAAAAUCAAACCCAUUAAGCUGCAUCCGUAUGAAGAUAUAUCACUUGAUUUGCUAGUAUCAACUGUGAGGUUGAUACAGUUGCUGCGUCCUGAUUUGACCAUGCUUACAUGUUGGUAUAGCAAUGUUCACUGGCUAUCUGAUGGGAUAUUUUGCAUUCAGGGCCUUAUUUUAUCAUAGUCCAGCAAUGAGCGCUGCUGGAGGCAUUCUUGGAUUGGUCAUUAUCAUGCUUGUCGAGACACUUCGAGUCUAGAUAAAAAACCUGCUAGAAAAUCUACUUCGUUCACAACAACGCAGAAGAAGAAUCAGUAGGUUGAUUCUUUCUAUGUUUCGUUAGAAUAGGAAUAAAUAUUUUGAUAUUGAGCAUCUUAUUUAUUUCUCCUCCUGUAAAUUUUUAUGCUGUAAAAAUAUGUGUUCUUUGAUUGGUAUAGCUCACCAUAGGUUCAUUAUAAGAGAACUAUUGCUCUGGCAAUGCAACAUUAUUUCUAAUGGGGAAGUUUGUCUUUGGCACUUGCAAUACAAGUUAAUUUUAUUGUUUUCACAGAAGACCAUGGGUUUGUUUAGUACUCUCCGCUCACUUUUAUCUGUUUACUAUUAAAAAUAAAUGUUCGCUUUUACUUGUUCGAAAAUUAAGAUAUAAU